UAGUCCACGCCCUAAACGAUGUAUACUCGAUGUUUGGAUUUAUUUCUGGGCAUCCAAGGGAAACCAUUAAGUAUACCACCUGGGGAGUACGUCGGCAACGAUGAAACUCAAAGGAAUUGACGUGGGUCCGCACAAGCGGUGGAGCAUGUGGUUUAAUUCGAUGAUACGCGAGGAACCUUACCUAGGCUCUAAUGUUAGCGCUAUCUGGUGAAAGCCGGAGUUCCUUCGGGACGCGAAACAAGGUGCUGCAUGGUUGUCGUCAGCUCGUGCCGUGAGGUGUUGGGUUAAGUCCCGCAACGAGCGCAACCCCUAUCUUUAGUUGCUAACAUUAAGUUGAGGACUCUAGAGAGACUGCCGGCGUAAGCCGCGAGGAAGGUGGGGACGACGUCAAAUCAUCAUGGCCUUUAUGCCUAGGGCGACACACGUGCUACAAUGGCGUGAACAGAGGGUCGCGAAGCCGCGAGGUGGAGCCAAUCCCAGAAAUCACGUCCCAGUUCGGAUUGGAGUCUGC
rnacentral:rRNA from 1 species